UUUUGUCUUUUUUGUUUUUAUCGGUACCAGGGAUCGAACUCACGACUGCCUGCUUGCAAGGCAAGCGCUUAUGCCGCUGAGCUAAAUCCCCAGCCCCCAUAUAUCUAACUUGGAGAACUGUUUCACUGGGCAUCAUGCUGUAGGCCUGUAAUCUUAGCUACUUGAGAGGCUGAGGCAGGAAGAUUCUUCAGCUGUAGCUCAGUGAUAGAAUACCCUGGAUUUAAUGCCCAAUACCACAGUUUUUUUUUUCUCUCCCCUUUUUUCUUUCUUUUUCUCUUUCUUUUUGGUUGGUUUUUGAGACAGGGUCUCCAAAAGAGCUGGACUUGAACUCACCAUGUAGCCCAGCUGACCUCAGACUCUUGGCAGUCCUCUUGCAUCAGCCUCCCAAGUGCUGGGAUUGCAGGUAUUUUGUCUCAGCAAUGAGAGAAAAAUAACCAAGACAAAUGGCUUCUUUUCAAUUCAACUGAAAAGUUGGCAAAGCAGUAAACAACGGCAAACUGACCUUUCCAAGAUUGAGAAUUCAGACACUGUAAAACAAUUUGGGGAAGAAAAAGAGGAUGAUGGAUCUCUGGGAUGCAGGAAGGAUCUGAAGGGAAAAUUGGAGCCCACAGAGAAAAUGAAAAGACUGACCCACAGCAGAAAAGAGGAGGAGGCAAUCUGUACUUUUUACCUGGCUCUCAGCUUGUGUCUGGAGAGAAGAGGAUCAAAUCCGCAGGGACACAGUGAGGGUGGUGACUCCAGGGAGGAACCCACCAGUGGAACAGAGCAGUGGAUGCUGUGAGCUACAGCGGCAGGCGAGUGACUCCAGGCCAAGAGACUGCUGUAUCCCCUGAAGAGGACAGGUACCAUGUGAGGAAGAGGCCAGCUGGACCUGGAGCUCAGAGCAGCCAGGGGUUAGCUUCAUCUCAGGGCACCCAGUGUUGAAAUCCCAUAAUGACUGAGUGAAGAGACAACUUCAGGAGAUGUCCAGGGUCAGGGAGUGAAGGCCAGGCCUGCUAAGGACACCCAGAGAAUUGUCGGCUGACUGACUCAGGCCCCAGCACCACAACCAGACACCAUGAUUAGCCAAACUUCUGUGGGUCCGAAAGUACCAAAACUGGCACCCUGCCCUAACUCUGUGGCAGGCUUGCUGGGUCAUCCAGCACAGAUCUUGACUCUGCUACCAGAGACAGCACAGCUGUGCUCUGAGUGAGACAAGCCAUGAUAGGCUUGAAAUCACAGAGAAAUUCUUUCUUUGUCUCUGCUGUUGGUUUUGGUGAGUUUUUUGAUUGUUCGUUUUUGUUUUUUGUGAGUGUGAACAUUUAGAUUUCUUCUUGUUUCAUUUUUUCCUUUUCUUCCCCUCCUGUCUUCAGUUUCCCAAGGCUUGAGUAAUCCUCCUUUGUCCUUCAGCUUUGCUUUUAAUCUUUAUUUUUCUUUUUUUAAAAUUUUAUUUAAAGACUAAACAAAACAGAAAAUAGAAAUAAUACAUACUUUCAGAGAAGAAAAACAUAAACAGUAAGAAAUCACUAGUUGAUGUUUACAUAUUGUCGUUUUACAAAUAGUUGUUCAAGAUACAAAAGUGGAACAUGUAAAGUGGGAAUUCAAACAGUGACAGCUCAAACAGUUCUGUUCAACUGUCCAACAAAAACUUAGUAACA